rnacentral:lncRNA from 1 species
GUGGGUCUGCAGGUGCAGAGGCUCCGUGAGAGGUGUCGUCUUACCAGCUGGGGGCUAGGCCCUGGGGCCCGAGCAGGCUGACUGGUGCCUUUCGUGCUGUGCUCUGCCGAUGUGUUCCGGGAGCAGAAGCCCCGCCGUGGUGCCUUCACUCUAGACAGAGAGAGAUACAGCCUGGCGCCCUGAGAGAUGACAGCCACGUGUCCCUGAGAGAUGACAGCCUGGUGUCCAUGAGAGAUACAGCCACGUGUCCCUGAGAGAUGACAGCCUGGUGUCCAUGAGAGAUACAGCCACGUGCCCCUGAGAGAUACAGCCUGGUGCCCUGAGAGAUACAGCCUGGUGCCCCUGAGAGAGAAUAGCCUGGUGCCCCUGAGAGAUGACAGCCUGGUGCCCCUGAGAGAUGACAGCCUGGCGCCCCUGAGAGAGAAUAGCCUGGUGCCCCUGAGGGAGAACAGCCUGGUGCCCCUGAGAGAUGACAGCCUGGUGCCCCUGAGAGAUGACAGCCUGGUGCCCCUGAGAGAUGACAGCCUGGUGUCUCUGAGAGGCAUGUCUUGGCUCCCAGGUCGGCCUUAGAUCUGGAACUGUUGAAGGAAGUCCCAAGGCCGUGAGUCCCUGACCUUUGGGAUGACUUGGCAUCUGGGUUUGCCGAUAUGUCUCCCCAAGAUUCUCUUGGUGUUAGUGGACAGCAGAGGAGCAGAGGAUGGAGAGGGAGUCCCCGCGGGAAGCGUCAUCUCCUGCCGUGACUCAGGGCAUCAUGGAUCAGCUCUUCACACAGGAGAUGAGAGGGAAGGAGCUGGGGCUGGGCUCCACGUCAGCUGGCUCUGAGUCUUGACAGCAGUGCCCCGAGAAGCCAUGGACAGGGAAGGC